GAUAAUUAUUACUGUUUUUAGGGUCACUUUAUUGCACCACUGAAUAUUGCAUUGUUUCUAUGGCAACAUGUCACUCUAAAAAGUGGGUUUUUUUCUAAAGUCAUACAAAAGCCCUGAGGUCAUUUGGCUCUGGCCUGGUAUUCUGUCACUGAGCUUGGCAUGAGCAGAGUGAGGGUGACUGCUGGAAUCCAUAUCAGCUAUGAGUACUUGUUAUGAAACAUAUGCAGCGUUGCCAGGGUCACGGGGAGGGUGAAACACAUCUCAGGUGUCACUGGAUGUGAAACCGUGGACGCUAUUGAUAAAUUGCCAGCCCUUCGGAUGACAGAAGGUCCUGGGCUUUAGGAACUUAGAUGGAAAGCACUUUGAAUCAAAGAAACCGAGUAUUCGAGCAGGAGAGCCACUCAUUCUACAGCCCCGUAUUUAGUGAAGAUAAUCAGCAGCUGUGCAGAAAUUUCACACUCAGAAUCUGUCUCACAGCCCAUGUGGGACUGAGCCUGAGUGACAAGCCUCUGACAUUUACAAGCUCUGAAAGUGCGAGCGGGCAUGCCUGCAUCGAUCAUGGCGGACAAUCCAAAUCUCCAUUAAGGACGGAAAUCACGCCGACCAGACUCAGAGAAGAUGGAAUUCUUGUGUUUGCUAGGGCAAAACUUUAACUUUUUCACAGCUUUUACAGCAUAAAUAAAUAUAUAAACUGUUAAAUUGUCUUGAAGCAUGUUCUUCUGUUUGGGUAAUCCUCAAAAAAAAAAAAAAAAAAAAA